AAGGGGUGGGCAAGUUCUGGUGUCAGCCGCCGCGGUAAAACCAGCACCUCGAGUGGUCAGGAGGUUUAUGGGCCUAAAGCAUCCGUAGCCGGUUGCAUAAGUUUUCGGUUAAAUCUAUGCGCUUAACGUAUANNCNGCCGAAAAUACUGUGCAGCUAGGGAGUGGGAGAGGUACACGGUACUCGAUAGGAAGGGGUAAAAUCCUUUGAUCUAUUGAUGAUCACCUGUGGCGAAGGCGGUGUACCAGAACACGUUCGACGGUGAGGGAUGAAAGCUGGGGGAGCAAACCGGAUUAGAUACCCGGGUAGUCCCAGCUGUAAACGAUGCAGACUC
rnacentral:rRNA from 1 species